UGCCGGAUGCCGCCGAGUCGCGCCCACGCCGUGGGUGCGAGCCGGGGACCCACCUGUACCACCGGGGUGAGUCCCGCUCCCGGCCCCCGGGAGCGGGUAGGGCACUCCCAGCCCGAACCCGUCAGCUGACCUGGUAGGCGGCCAGGGGAGAACGG
rnacentral:sRNA from 1 species